rnacentral:rRNA from 1 species
CCCUUAGAUGUCCUGGGCUGCACGCGCGCUACACUGAUGUGUCCAGUAAGCACCUAACCUCUUCCGAAAGGAACGGGUAACCUUUGCAAAGCACAUCGUGAUGGGGAUAGAUUAUUGCAAUUAUUAGUCUUGAACGAGGAAUUCCUAGUAAGCACAAGUCAUCAGCUUGUGUUGAUUACGUCCCUGCCCUUUGUACACACCGCCCGUCGCUCCUACCGAUUGAAUGUUCCGGUGAGCUCUUCGGACUGCGCGGUCUGCAGUUUCUGCGUUCCGUGCGGAAAGUUGCGCAAACAUUAACAUUUAGAGGAAGGAGAAGUCGUAACA